rnacentral:rRNA from 1 species
AUUGAACGCUGGCGGCAUGCCUUACACAUGCAAGUCGAACGGUAACGGGCCUUCGGGUGCCGACGAGUGGCGAACGGGUGAGUAAUGUAUCGGAACGUACCUUUCAGUGGGGGAUAACGUAGCGAAAGUUACGCUAAUACCGCAUAUUCUGUGAGCAGGAAAGCAGGGGAUCGCAAGACCUUGCGCUGAUUGAGCGGCCGAUAUCAGAUUAGCUAGUUGGUGAGGUAAAGGCUCACCAAGGCGACGAUCUGUAGCGGGUCUGAGAGGAUGAUCCGCCACACUGGAACUGAGACACGGUCCAGACUCCUACGGGAGGCAGCAGUGGGGAAUUUUGGACAAUGGGGGCAACCCUGAUCCAGCCAUGCCGCGUGAGUGAAGAAGGCCUUCGGGUUGUAAAGCUCUUUCGGCCGGGAAGAAAUCGCAUGGGCUAAUACCCUGUGUGGAUGACGGUACCGGAAUAAGAGGCACCGGCUAACUACGUGCCAGCCGCCGCAGUAAUAC